UCUCAAGUUCACUGUUGAGAGCAGCCGUGCCCAAAAUAACUCAGGCUGGGAAAAUGAGAACUUCUACAGUUCUAGAGGCUGGGAAGUCCAAGAUCUAGGCGCCAGCAGAUCCCCUGUCUGGUGAGAGUCCACUUCCUGGUUCAUGGACAGCUGUCUUUUCACUGUUUACUCACAUGAUGGAAGAGGGUUCUCAGCUAAAAACUCAGAAGGGCAGAUGGAAAACUACUUUUUCUCCUCUACACGUUCGUUCCUUUUUUAUAACUCCCAGCCUCACAGUAGAGAGAUGGCUGGCUACUAAAUGACUCACGGGCAGAGAGCAUCUACAGUGGGCAUGAAGGACAAAGGGAUGAUUCACAUCCCAGGUGGAAUUGCAUCACACUACUCAGAAUGGCAUGCGAUUUAAA